rnacentral:rRNA from 1 species
UACAUGCAGUCGAACGAACUCUGGUAUUGAUUGGUGCUUGCAUCAUGAUUUACAUUUGAGUGAGUGGCGAACUGGUGAGUAACACGUGGGAAACCUGCCCAGAAGCGGGGGAUAACACCUGGAAACAGAUGCUAAUACCGCAUAACAACUUGGACCGCAUGGUCCGAGCUUGAAAGAUGGCUUCGGCUAUCACUUUUGGAUGGUCCCGCGGCGUAUUAGCUAGAUGGUGGGGUAACGGCUCACCAUGGCAAUGAUACGUAGCCGACCUGAGAGGGUAAUCGGCCACAUUGGGACUGAGACACGGCCCAAACUCCUACGGGAGGCAGCAGUAGGGAAUCUUCCACAAUGGACGAAAGUCUGAUGGAGCAACGCCGCGUGAGUGAAGAAGGGUUUCGGCUCGUAAAAACUCUGUUGUUAAAGAAGAACAUAUCUGAGAGUAACUGUUCAGGUAUUGACGGUAUUUAACCAGAAAGCCACGGCUAACUACGUGCCAGCAGCCGCGGUAAUACGUA